rfam:Bacillus sp. SGD-V-76 genomic scaffold Scaffold50, whole genome shotgun sequence.
GUGAAGUUUAUCACAAAACAAACAUAUACCCCUUUGUUUGACCGUGAAAAAUUUCUCCCAUCCCCUUGUUGUCUUAGGACAAACAAAAAAGACUUGGCAUUUGCCAAGUCUUUUUU